rnacentral:rRNA from 1 species
GAUGAACGCUGGCGGCGUGCCUAAUACAUGCAAGUCGAGCGAACAGACGAGGAGCUUGCUCCUCUGACGUUAGCGGCGGACGGGUGAGUAACACGUGGAUAACCUACCUAUAAGACUGGGAUAACUUCGGGAAACCGGAGCUAAUACCGGAUAAUAUAUUGAACCGCAUGGUUCAAUAGUGAAAGACGGUUUUGCUGUCACUUAUAGAUGGAUCCGCGCCGCAUUAGCUAGUUGGUAAGGUAACGGCUUACCAAGGCAACGAUGCGUAGCCGACCUGAGAGGGUGAUCGGCCACUCUGGAACUGAGACACGGUCCAGACUCCUACGGGAGGCAGCAGUAGGGAAUCUUCCGCAAAGGGCGAAAGCCUGACGGAGCAACGCCGCGUGAGUGAUGAAGGUCUUCGGAUCGUAAAACUCUGUUAUUAGGGAAGAACAAAUGUGUAAGUAACUAUGCACGUCUUGACGGUACCUAAUCAGAAAGCCACGGCUAACUACGUG